GCGCGCAAUAGCGAUUUUCCGCAAAACUCCCAAAAUGGUGUCCUGUAACCUUAACCAAAGCUAAGGGAAAUACCACAAUUAGUGACAAAAGUUUUGUUAUAGUAUCGUAUAUUUAUAACGUUUUACUACAUUAAAUAACAGAACAUAUGAUUUGAUCUUUUAAAAAAUUCAUUUCAUUGCCAUGCAUGCACAUAUAUUACACUGUUAUAACAGGCCAAUUUAAAAUAUUUAAAUUCA